rnacentral:rRNA from 1 species
GUGAACGCUGGCGGUAGGCCUAACACAUGCAAGUCGAACGGCAGCACAGUAAGAGCUUGCUCUUACGGGUGGCGAGUGGCGGACGGGUGAGGAAUACAUCGGAAUCUACUUUUUCGUGGGGGAUAACGUAGGGAAACUUACGCUAAUACCGCAUACGACCUACGGGUGAAAGCAGGGGAUCUUCGGACCUUGCGCGAUUGAAUGAGCCGAUGUCGGAUUAGCUAGUUGGCGAGGUAAAGGCCCACCAAGGCGACGAUCCGUAGCUGGUCUGAGAGGAUGAUCACCCACACUGGAACUGAGACACGGUCCAGACUCCUACGGGAGGCAGCAGUGGGGAAUAUUGGACAAUGGGCGCAAGCCUGAUCCAGCCAUACCGCGUGGGUGAAGAAGGCCUUCGGGUUGUAAAGCCCUUUUGUUGGGAAAGAAAAGCAGCAGGUUAAUACCCCGCUGUUCUGACGGUACCCAAAGAAUAAGCACCGGCUAACUUCGUG